rnacentral:rRNA from 1 species
CACAUGCAGUCGAACGGAGCUGAGAGGAGCUUGCUUUUCUUAGCUUAGUGGCGAACGGGUGAGUAACGCGUGAGUAACCUGCCCUGGAGUGGGGGACAACAGUUGGAAACGACUGCUAAUACCGCAUAAGCCCACGGAUCCGCAUGGAUCUGCGGGAAAAGGAUUUAUUCGCUUCAGGAUGGACUCGCGUCCAAUUAGCUAGUUGGUGAGGUAACGGCCCACCAAGGCGACGAUUGGUAGCCGGACUGAGAGGUUGAACGGCCACAUUGGGACUGAGACACGGCCCAGACUCCUACGGGAGGCAGCAGUGGGGGAUAUUGCACAAUGGGGGAAACCCUGAUGCAGCGACGCCGCGUGGAGGAAGAAGGUUUUCGGAUUGUAAACUCCUGUCGUUAGGGACGAUAAUGACGGUACCUAACAAGAAAGCACCGGCUAACUACGUGCCAGCAGCCGCGGUAAAACGUAGGGUGCAAGCGUUGUCCGGAAUUACUGGGUGUAAAGGGAGCGCAGGCGGACCGGCAAGUUGGAAGUGAAAACUAUGGGCUCAACCCAUAAAUUGCUUUCAAAACUGCUGGCCUUGAGUAGUGCAGAGGUAGGUGGAAUUCCCGGUGUAGCGGUGGAAUGCGUAGAUAUCGGGAGGAACACCAGUGGCGAAGGCGACCUACUGGGCACCAACUGACGCUGAGGCUCGAAAGCAUGGGUAGCAAACAGGAUUAGAUACCCUGGUAGUCCAUGCCGUAAACGAUGAUUACUAGGUGUUGGAGGAUUGACCCCUUCAGUGCCGCAGUUAACACAAUAAGUAAUCCACCUGGGGAGUACGACCGCAAGGUUGAAACUCAAAGGAAUUGACGGGGGCCCGCACAAGCAGUGGAGUAUGUGGUUUAAUUCGACGCAACGCGAAGAACCUUACCAAGU